GACGAACGCUGGCGGCGUGCUUAACACAUGCAAGUCGAACGGAAAGGCCCUGCUUUUGUGGGGUGCUCGAGUGGCGAACGGGUGAGUAACACGUGAGUAACCUGCCCUUAACUUUGGGAUAACUUCAGGAAACUGGGGCUAAUACCGGAUAGGAGCUCCUGCUGCAUGGUGGGGGUUGGAAAGUUUCGGCGGUUGGGGAUGGACUCGCGGCUUAUCAGCUUGUUGGUGGGGUAGUGGCUUACCAAGGCUUUGACGGGUAGCCGGCCUGAGAGGGUGACCGGCUACAUUGGGACUGAGAUACGGACCAGACUCCUACGGGAGGCAGCAGUGGGGAAUAUUGCACAAUGGGCGGAAGCCUGAUGCAGCAACGCCGCGUGCGGGAUGACGGCCUUCGGGUUGUAAACCGCUUUCGCCUGUGACGAAGCGUGAGUGACGGUAAUGGGUAAAGAAGCACCGGCUAACUACGUG
rnacentral:rRNA from 1 species